GGGCAGCGACGGCAUUUCCACCAUGCCUCUUCAUUCGUGGGAACAAGCUUGAACUUGUCCGCGGUCGGUUUCCUGUGUUGCAUACCUAUUGCAAGGGCAUUCGGAUGACUCAAAUGGUCCCAUCUCCGCCUUGUGUCGGCGUUCUGUCUGGGCGUUCGGCACGAGGUGGAUCUCACGGCAGGCGUCGUGUUUCGCGCGGCAUUCACCUUACUCGGUGUUUGGGUAGGCGACACACGACGUGAUGCCCGUUGUCUCGGGUACGGAACAUCUGGUGGGUUCGGGGCAUUGCCCUUUGAUCUCCACAAAAUUGCGUUCCACGCUUCAUGCGAACGACGGCCGCACACGACCUUCGGCCGGGCAGUUACUGCUCGUUCGUAGUCUUGUCGGCGUCGGUGAGGGAUGCUACCUGGUUGAUCCUGCCAGUAGUCAUAUGCUUGUCUCAAAGAUUAAGCCAUG
rnacentral:misc_RNA from 1 species